UACAGAGGUCCCAAGCGUUGUUCGGAUUCACUGGGCGUAAAGGGUGCGCAGGUGGGCUGAUAAGUUCGAUGUGAAAGCCCCGGGCUUAACCCGGGAAUGGCAUUGGAAACUGUUGGUCUGGAGGGUUGGAGGGGGGACUGGAAUUCUUGGUGUAGCAGUGAAAUGCGUAGAUAUCAAGAGGAACACCAGUGGCGAAGGCGAGUCCCUGGACAAACCCUGACACUGAGGCACGAAAGCCAAGGGAGCAAACAGGAUUAGAUACCCCCGUAGUCC
rnacentral:rRNA from 1 species